AGAGUUUGAUCAUGGCUCAGGAUGAACGCUGGCGGCGUGCCUAAUACAUGCAAGUCGAGCGAACUAAUUAGAAGCUUGCUUCUAUGACGUUAGCGGCGGACGGGUGAGUAACACGUGGGCAACCUGCCUGUAAGACUGGGAUAACUUCGGGAAACCGAAGCUAAUACCGGAUAGGAUCUUCUCCUUCAUGGGAGAUGAUUGAAAGAUGGUUUCGGCUAUCACUUACAGAUGGGCCCGCGGUGCAUUAGCUAGUUGGUGAGGUAACGGCUCACCAAGGCAACGAUGCAUAGCCGACCUGAGAGGGUGAUCGGCCACACUGGGACUGAGACACGGUCCAGACUCCUACGGGAGGCAGCAGUAGGGAAUCUUCCGCAAUGGACGACAGUCUGACGGAGCAACGCCGCGUGAGUGAUGAAGGUUUUCGGAUCGUAAAACUCUGUUGUCAGGGAAGAACAAGUACCGGAGUAACUGCCGGUACCUUGACGGUACCUGACCAGAAAGCCACGGCUAACUACGUGCCAGCAGCCGCGGUAAUACGUAGGUGGCAAGCGUUGUCCGGAAUUAUUGGGCGUAAAGCGCGCGCAGGCGGUUCCUUAAGUCUGAUGUGAAAGCCCCCGGCUCAACCGGGGAGGGUCA
rnacentral:rRNA from 1 species